UUGACCUCGGAUCAGGUAGGAAUACCCGCUGAACUUAAGCAUAUGAAAAGUCCCGGGAGGAAA
rnacentral:rRNA from 1 species